rnacentral:rRNA from 1 species
CCCGCUCAGAAACUUAAAGGAAUUGACGGAGGCCCGCACAAGCGGAGGAGCAUGUGGUUUAAUUCGAUGAUACGCGAGGAACCUUACCUGGGCUCGAACGUAAGAUGACUGUAGGUGAAAGCUUACAUCUCUUCGGAGCAUUUUACGAGGUGCUGCAUGGUUGUCGUCAGCUCGUGCCGUGAGGUGUCGGGUUAAGUCCCAUAACGAGCGCAACCCUACCUUUAGUUGCCAUCAGGUAAUGCUGGGGACUCUAAAGGAACUGCCUACGCAAGUAGUGAGGAAGGCGGGGAUGACGUCAAAUCAGCACGGCCCUUACGUCCAGGGCUACACACGUGCUACAAUGGCCGAUACAGAGGGCAGCUACCUGGUGACAGGAUGCAAAUCUCCAAAGUCGGUCUCAGUUCGGAUCGGAGUCUGCAACCCGACUCCGUGAAGUUGGAUUCGCUAGUAAUCGCGCAUCAGCCAUGGCGCGGUGAAUACGUUCCCGGGCCUU